GACAAGAGCUGGAGGAGGAGGAGCAGCCAGGUAGAGUACAGAAGAUCACCAGGGCAAAGGAAAAACAGUCAGGUAGAAAAAUGAAUCCAGAGUGAAAGCUAUAAAUGAAAGACAUCAAGAGGUGGGAAUGAUGUGAAAACAGAGGUGUUACCUAUUGGAGGACUCUGAGUCACCCACCGGCAGGAGCAAGACCAGAACGUUGCAGCCUUCCAAGAAAACCAUUUGGGAAAAACCACUGAAAGUUUGGAGUUACCCAGAAACCUGUCUAGGAAGCUGACCUUGUUUUCCCAGGCUCCAUACUCCACAAUCACUGUGAGUUUUUUCCAUCUCCCAAUCUCCAUCAAGGGCCUUUUCUUUUACCUAUGAGAGUCUACGGAAUCCUCUAUCUUUGAAGAAGGAAUCAUCCUGGUCCAUGGCAGGAUGGUUCUGAGCACGUUGCCUUCAUCACUAUGUCAUAGUGAUGUCACCAUGGUGACUAUUGUCGCUGAAUAGUUUGACAUCCCACAGCUCAUGAACUGCUCUCAGGUUGGGACUUUUAGACUCUCUUGUUGGCCUCUCUAAAGUGCUGGCCUCCCUCCAUCACUGGAAAGGAGAAACUGGCAGUGGAGAAUAGCCUGUCUGAUUCCACAUGCUUCCUGUUGGAGGAGUCCUUCAAGAAGUUACUUACUGUCAGAUGAGGUUUCUAGCACGACAAUUAGAGUGUUUGGCCAUCUCAUCACCAGAGUAGGUAGCCUCCCUGGUGAUGUGAGUAGCAGUCCAGUCAUCCUUGUUCCACAUCUAGUAUCCUGCUAUGAGAGGCUGUUUUCAAGAUGCCAUCUUGGAGGAAAGAUUGGUUCUCCCAGAUUUUAACUCUACUGCCACCUUCACCAGAAUUUUCUGCCUCAAAGCUCUGAAGAAAACAUUUCCAUUCUUCAAAAAUUACCCUGUCCCAGCUUUAGGAAGAAACCAUGACUGGCCAGAGGAUCAGCUACCUACUGUGAUUGGAGGCAAGACUCAGUGUCUGUUUUUCACAGACACUGUUCACAUACUGUUCAAACUCACUAUGAUGGCGGAAAGGGCAAACAAAGGGGCAGUGGUUUCUGACAUUGGGAAUCAGAAAUCUCUAGUAGAUGAACAGAGUCAACUCAUGCAUUUCAAGGACUUCGGCAAAGCAAUCCCUUCCACUCUCCAAAGCACUCUGUGGUACCUAGACUCACUCAAAUAAGAAGGCCCUAAACCUGAAGGACUUGAAGUUCACACUAGGAGCAGUAGAUGUCUUGGAGAGGAGGGGAGGCUUAGGACAUACUUGCAAUGUGCCAUGCAGACUGUAGCAUGCAAGUGGGCCAGAUUCUUAAGUCACCAUUGGAAUGGGUCAAAUACCCCCAAUUCACUGCUCCACCAGGAGCAGGGGCUGCUUGGCUCUCCCAUGGGGUGUUCUGUAUACCACAGGAGACUGUGAGUAUCCAGUGAAGGGUGAGGGAAGCAAGAAGAAAGGGCUGGAAGUAGAAACUGAGACUUAACCACAAACACUUGCAGCUGAAAGACUGUCUUAAGAUCAAGGUGACCCUGGACCUAAGCUCCUGGGACUUGGAACAGGGAGUAAACUUCAAUUUGUCAUUACCCAGGAGCUUCACACUCCCAGGUCAAAUAAAGGGCCAGUGUUUUUGUUUCUGUUCAAAGACAGAACCAGCAACAAGACAGUUUUGACAAUUCUGCUGCUGAUCUUGAAACAACUCCUUCUAAAGAAUGGAUGGAACAAUACAUCCAGAAGGAAGAACACAUGUAACGCACAUUAAAUACAUGCAAAAAUCCACCCACAGUAUUCCACAGCCACUGUCAACAAAUUGGGCUGCACAGUCUCUAGAAAACCAAAAAGUAAUUAUUUUUAAAUUCCUAAAAUGAUUUGGGGCACCAACACCUCUUCCUCCUCAAAUUCAAUCUCUCCUCUUUGGGGAUUUCUCACUGGGAAACAUUCAAUUUCCCCUCCUCUUUCCUCUGCUCCCUCCUUCCUGCUCCCCCUCUUCUCAAGCUUUCUUGAUUCAAGGCACACACUUGCAACUGCUGUUAAAUUCAAAUAGUUCAAGACAGAAAGUUCUGUUGAGUUUACCAUCAGUCAAUGAAGCUUCUCAGCUCAUGUGUUCUGUCUGCUCCAUUUAUUCACAGAAUCCAAGAACCCCACCUCUCCUUCAGCAUGGCCAGUCUAUGUGCUGCAGCCAGGGGAACCUUUUAUUCUCUGCCUGUUUGACACAGCCUUCCUUAGAGGUGGUGCCUGCCCUUCAGUGAAUUCCAAAUGCUGAGCUCUAUACUCCACAGUCAUGAGCCUUGAGGUUCCAGUUUGUCUGCAGGGCAGUGGCUCCAGCACCAUUGACUACAGGCAGAUAUACCAGAGUCUGUCUCAACCCAGAUAGGUGGAGGGGGAGAGUCACUCAAUCUCACGGGUGUAGAAUACUAGAAAAAGUUUGAAAGAAGUAAAUAAUUUUGUGAUGCUGUUAUGCAUUCUACAAAAUAAAACUCUCAUUCCAAACUAUCACUAAAGUGCAAUGUAAGUACACUCUUGGCACAUCUCCAAUCAGGAUAAUUGCCACACCAUCUCUGCAGAGAGAGAUAGAAUUAUAUGGGAACAAUAAAUUGCUCAGCUCUCUUUGAGAAUUCAGUUGAUUCGAUCAAAAGGGAAAAGAGAACCGAGUUCCUUCAAUAUAUUGGAAAAUGAAAUAUAGACUUAUUUCAUGUAUUCAGAAAGAAACUUUAAUCACUAAACAGAAUAUUGUUAUUCUAGAAGUAUUUAAAUGAUCACAUAGAUCAAAGAGACUUCAAAUGACAGGUUAUGGGAGACAGUCCUGGGAUAUAAUGAUUUUAGGAAACAGUAAGAACACUUUUUUCAUCUCAUUGGAAACAAGAAGACAUUUCCCAUUCAGAAGAUGAGACGACUGUCAUGUGAAAACUAUUUAAAACCAUUUCUCCUAAGUCAUUCCAGCAUCAAAAUAACUAGACAUUUUGAAACUGUACUACUGUAUCUUAAGAACUAAAAUUUAUUUCUAGUUUUAAGAACACAUUGUACAAUUAAUUGUAUCCACGAUUGCUUAGAGAAAGGGAUCAUGGAUGACCAGGGUCUCCAAGAACAUAUAUCAGGAUGCUCAAGGCUGUCCCCAGAACUGAAUGCAUAUUUCACAUAUACCUGAAUAUCUAUAUGGCUAUAUGAGGUAAAUUGUGUACAUUCCUUUCCACUCAUAGAUAGAAGGUCCAAGAACUUCAUCAAUAUUCUGAAGAGGCUCAGAGCCUUCAAAAUAUUUAGAAACUUUUUGUGAAUAUCACAAAAUAAUGAAUUUGUGAGACCUACUUUCUGGACCAGUUGUUCCUAUUGAAUAUAUCUACAAUAUUUGGUAUAAAUCUCCACUUUUGUUCAAAGAUGGGAACAGUAUCACUUUGAAGGUCCAUGUUCCACUUAACACUUUCCACAUCAUUUUGAAAAUGAAUAGAGUAAAGGAACAAGAGCUCUUUCCUUUUUGUCUUCUAGAAGAACUUGAAGAUCUGCCAGCUAGCUAGCAAAGUGAUUAACUGUGGGCUAGUACAUGCCCAGCCAACCAGACCACAAGCUACUUAACAAUAAAGAAAGAUAGUUUAUUAUUUACAGGGAUGAAAACAAUACAACAUAUGACCACAGCCUAUGAUUUCUGAGUGGUUGAAUAAACCUUGAAAUAAUAAAUCGUGCCUAUUUUAAAUAAAUCAAAAUGAUCAUUUACUGCACUGGUUUCUACCUAAACUUGGCUCAAAAGAAGUGUAAUUGCUACAGUAGAGGCAAGCAAGGAGACCAGCCUUGAGUCACACCUCAGGAAGGCAUCUCAGAUCCCACAAUCAGAGAAAAGCAGAAUCUGUGUUGAAAA